GUGAUCAUCUUACUGAAAUAUGCCAUCUUUACUUUCGCUUCCCGCACCCAGUCCUGUGUGGAUGCUAGGCUCGGGCUAGCGCUGGAUUUACUUAGAAAACAGACCAUAAAAGAGGUAUUUAGACACUAAAGUUAACUGCAAACGUUACGGAAGUAGACAGGAAUCAUCAGACAUCUUUGAACCACGUAGAAAUCGAUAUUCCGGCUGCUUUUUUUUUUUUUUUGAGGACUCUCUUCAGUGGGACUUCGAUCUCCAUCCAUCUGCCACUGUGUGUUGCUGUCUAUCCACGUCCACAUCUCCAUCACGCUGGGAUCGGCCAUCACCUCGGACCAUCUCGUUGGACGUUCAUUAUAAGGGGGAGGACUCUGGAAGUGUCGGCGCCUUGGGAUCCGCUGCUGCCGCCAGUCCUGAUUGAUUCUCUAAUAAGGAGUGAACAGCAGCGCCCGGUACUUUGGGUAAUUGUCAUAUUUGUCACCCGGAGAAGCGAAGCCGCGAGCAGCUUCUGGGAUCUAAUUGGACAGAGUUAUCAGACGCUGAACAGCGGCAGCCGAGCGGCGGUGAUCCAUAUCCUGCUCACAACAAGAAUGAGGAGUCGUUACGGAAGAUGGGGAGGCAUUAGGAGCAUCAACUCACACACAUCCUGGGAAACACAGCCACACACAGCCAGUGUAUCAUAACGCUUUUAAUGUCGAUACGUCUGCUCAGAUUUAUAGCCGAGGCCGGAGAACGGAUCUGCUCAGGGCCUCUCAGUGUCAACCGGAAACUCACCGCAAUGAAGACAGAAAUAUCACAAACCUGCAGUGUAUUAAAGGGAAUUUUGCAAAAUCAUCUCGCGGGCCAGAAAGGACCCUCUGGAGGGCCGGUUAUGGCCUGCGGGCCUUAUGUUUGACACCUCUGAGCUAAACCACGUUGCCCGGGAUCCAUCCAUCACGGCACUUGGCGGGCUCAACUAGAAAAAGGCGGCGCUUUUAUCAAUACAACGGCUCAGGGAUGGAAAGUUCCGGAAUGUUUAGUUGUUGUUCUCCAAGACUAAGACGAAGAUCUGAUACAGGAAGAUAAAAUCCCCCACGGUUCAGAGCCAAGUGCUCGGCUUCGACCUCCAACAAUAAGGAGCCAAAGUGCGAUUAAUCCGUCAGGAAACAAAGAAAUAUCUUCCCCCAAAGAACUCCAGCAUCCAGCUUUCCUAAAGUCUCGUCAUUCUGUCAACACGAACGUUCGGCUCCGGCCCUGAUUUAGGUUUUUAUUGCCAUCUGUUCUGAGUCCAAACAUUUUAUUUUUAGAUCUGAAUUCCACAGUUUCAGGUGGACAUGAUUGAAAAAAGAUCCACCUAAUGACUGCUGGAGAUAAUAAUCAACAUGUGUGCCGGACAAACUGUUUCCUGAAAGCACAGUUUGUGAUUGAGACGUCUUUGGAACCCACAAAUAUGAAGCAAGUGAUUAAAUCCACUCAUGUUACAGUAGAUGAGCAGCUUUUUCUGAGUUAUUCCACCUUAAAAUGUUUA
ensembl:lncRNA